UCACCGUCCAGUAAUUUUAUAAAACUCUCCUCCCCAAAACGCACCGAAAAACUGUCUAUAAAACGAGGUCGGGAUCCGAGAGCAUCAUUGCAAAACCCUAAUUCACGUUUAGCGCGUCGGCCGCCAUCUUAGUUUCUUCAGCCAUCUGUUUGAUCUCUAGCUGAUGACUGGUAAAUUCUUUCAAUGAAAACCAGUUUGUUAAUACUGCGAAUGACCUGAUAUAGCUAUGAGAUCUGAGGGCUUUGUUCAACAUUUUGAAUGUCGGGGUUUGUUAUCCAGAAUUUGAUUUAUAAUAAUCUUGUUUUACAUUAUAGCGAUAAACAUUAAAUUGAUAGAAUGUUUUAAAGGAUAUCCAUUAUCGAGAAUUUUAGAAAUUAAAUUGAAAA